rnacentral:sRNA from 1 species
UCCUUAGUGGUGCAGUCGUCCAGGCCGGU